AUUGAACGCUGGCGGCAUGCCUUACACAUGCAAGUCGAACGGUAACAGGUCUUCGGAUGCUGACGAGUGGCGAACGGGUGAGUAAUGCAUCGGAACGUGCCCAGUAGUGGGGGAUAGCCCGGCGAAAGCCGGAUUAAUACCGCAUACGACCUGAGGGUGAAAGGGGGGGAUCGCAAGACCUCUCGCUAUUGGAGCGGCCGAUGUCAGAUUAGCUGGUUGGUGGGGUAAAGGCCUACCAAGGCAACGAUCUGUAGUUGGUCUGAGAGGACGACCAGCCACACUGGGACUGAGACACGGCCCAGACUCCUACGGGAGGCAGCAGUGGGGAAUUUUGGACAAUGGGCGCAAGCCUGAUCCAGCAACGCCGCGUGCAGGAAGAAGGCCUUCGGGUUGUAAACUGCUUUUGUCAGGGAAGAAAUCUUCUGGGUUAAUACCUCGGGAGGAUGACGGUACCUGAAGAAUAAGCACCGGCUAACUACGUGCCAGCCGCCGCUGUAAGAC
rnacentral:rRNA from 1 species